UCUAAAGGAAUAGCUUCUCAUUUUAGCAGUCUAGUGUAAUAACAUCAAACUGCUACAGUAGUGUCUACCAGUGGGUCAGCUCUAGUAGACAUUUGGAUUGAUCUCAUUGAUCACAUUUGGUCUGUGGGUCUGAGUCUGACUCCUCUGCUGUAAGGGGUCCACUUUGACCUGCUUGGAUUCUGUUCUGACUCGGUUUAACUGCUCUGUCUGCAGAGUCUCAGAGCUGCUGGGUGUUAGUGGACUGACUGCAUCUCAUUAGAAUACAUCACACUUCCUCUUUGCUCAGGCAGAGGAAAUGACAACAAGCUGGACUGAAAUACAUAGAAACUAUAAUAAAAUAAAAAAGGUCUUCCCCAUCAUAAUCCUACAGCUAAAUGACUCCCUUUAGUUGAUCUGAGUGUUAUAAAGUGAAUGAAUUUAAUGUAGUGUAAACGUUUUUUUUUCUGGGUAAAGUUUGUGCAACUAGUUCUUCUUUUAGUGGUUUUCUGUCAGUUUCUAAGAAAUAGCAAACGACUGAAUAGUUGUGAAAUGUUGGUGUGAAGCUUUUUUCCCCAUCGAUUGAUUCAGCCACAAAGAGGAAAUAACAUCAGUACCUUUCUUCAGUUUGAAGGUAAAGAUCUGUUUUAGCUGAAAAAAAAAAUUAAAGGACACAUUGGUUUACUGAAAUAUUUUAUGGGGAUAUAAGAAUUAACAUCUACUUUGUGCAGAAGGUAAUCUCUGUAGCAUCUUUUUUCUAUCAAACUUCUAACCUGUCAGAGAUUAAAAAUGUAAUGAUUAAUCCUUACAAAAUGUAUUAGAUUGCUUUUUCAAAAGGUUGAAAAUUAAUGUCAUACUGAGAAAUAGAAUAAGUAAAAAAUAAUUAAUUGACUACACAUCUUUAAAUCAAGCUUGAUGAUCUUGUCUGUGAAGGAUGAAAUGUGUCAAACUUUAAUGUGUCUUUGUCUCUGCUGCAGGAACAAGAGGAGGAGAUCUUCAUCUCUAUCAUAGAUCUGGAGAUGAUGUCAUUCUACCUUGUAACAGUCCUGCAUCUUCUUACUAAUGCUCCAUUGUUAACUGGUUUUACUACAGAGAUCAAGGUGCUAGUUCUCCAUUUGAUGUUAAGCAUGGAAAUGUUCAGAGUUCACCUCGAGCUGCCAGGUUAAAUGUGGACAGUAACUGCUCUCUGAUCAUCAACAACAUCACUGCUGAAGAUGCUGGACAUUACACCUGUCGACCUGGUUCAGAUGGCAGCGAUGAUGGCAUUGUUGGUCUGAAAGUUCUGACCAUCUCUCCAUCUUCACCAGCUGCUGAUCCAACAAAGAAUGGGGAUGUCACAUUACUGUGUUCUCUGGAGAGACAGAGAUGGUUGGGUUCUUGGCCAGGGAAGAGUUUCAUCUGGUUGGAUGAGACAGGAACUAAACUGACUGGUGAAAAUGUUCAAUACCAGUUCAGAAAACCAAGCAGCUGUGUUUCCUCUCUAACUGUGCAGCAUCAGAGCGUCACCAACAGAAGAUACACCUGCCAGUUUGUUGAAGGAAACAGCAUAAAGGUAGAAGCUCACUACCCAGCUGGGUUUAAAGGUGCAAAGGGUGUGAAGAGGAUUGGGUGGCAGUCAGAGGUUUAGGCCUCUGGGACCCGAUCCACAGUAGCUUCAAUCGGCUCUGGGGAUGUGAAAUGUGACCUUACUGGAGGUAAUGACUGAGAUUUUGCAUGAGGUGGAGUGAUACAGGCUAGAAAUAUUUGGGCCCACAUACAGCCAGCGCUCUGGAACCCAGCUAAUCGAGAGUGAAUUAACUUUCUCUACUCUUAAGUGGCCCCUGGAAAGAGAAUGAGAGCUGGAAUGGGUCUGCUUGUCUCUCCCCAACUCAGUCAUGCUGUGUUGGAGUUAACCCUGGUGGAGAGGGUUGCAUCCCUUCACCUUGGGGUACUGUAAGCUGCGGGUUAAAGACUGAGUUAAUUCAUCUUUUUACUUGUCAUUGUAGAACUUAACUUACUACGGUUCCAUAUUAUCCCUUUUUUGCAGAGGAGAUUUAUUUUUAUUUCAAUAUUAACCUGUCAAAUAUGUGAAUUUAGGCUGAACUAAACUGUGUUUUACAUUUUUUUAUUGGUUU